UCAGAUAUUCAAACAGUGAGGGGAUUUCCCCAAAUUACUGAAUUAGCUGCUGUAGUCAGGGCCUUUCAGCUUUUUCCUUUUAAUUUCAUUACAGAUUCUGCUUAUGUUGCUAAUGUAGUUAAAAUAAUAGAAGGAUCAGGUUUAAAAUAUGUUGGAAAUGAUGCCUUGUAUUGUUUGCUUUCAAGCUUUUUUACAAUUUUACAAUACAGCACUAAUCCAUAUUUUGUUUCUCAUGCUAGGGCUCAUUCUUCGCUUCCAGGAUUUUUAGCAGAAGGAAGUGCAAGAGCGGAUGCCAGACCCAAGUGGGUUCCAGCAAAGAACAUCAAACCAUAUUGCACAGAAGAACAUGCUGAUGAGUCCAAGAGCAGAGAGACAAGCACGGAGAUGUGAAACAAAGAGAGAGCCCACGGGUCCUUCCUGACAAACCUUGUUCACCUGUGGAACCUGCAAACCCUGAUUUUUGUGUCAUUGUGAAAAAUGUGUAAAUUGUUGAUUUCAUGGACUCCUUUGGCAAAAACAUGCUAUUUUUGUGCUAUAGAGAGUACAUCCCCCCAUCGAAUUUGCAAAGGUGAAAUUAUCCCUUCUUUUUCUUGUUAUAGGUAGCUAGUCCCCAAGCAAAUUUGAGAAAGUACAAGAGUAGAAUUUGGGAAAUAAGAUAUAUGGAAAGGUCAUUUGCCAAAAAAUAGCUCACGAAAACUAUGGAGCUGAAUGAAGUAUUAUGCUGGUACUUGCUGGUCUUGCUUGUUCUGUGCAGUGAAGAUUUGCCUGUAGAACAACCAAAAACAAAUGUUUGCCUUAGCCAAGGCUGCAGGCUCAGACACCAUAAGCCUGUCCAAUUCAAAUCCAGAAAAGUCCUUUUCAACCUGUCUAGUUGGUGUGCCAGUAAAAGAUUGGCCAAUACCCAUAUAUUAUGAUCCCUUCACCAAAACGGGA